rnacentral:tRNA from 1 species
CAGGGAGACAACAAAAUGUUAAAUAUUAAUUUUGUCACCUUAGGUCGAUCGGUACCUCACAUUCUUUUAUUAUUUAAGAAUUUUAUUUCCUAAGUUUUUCUAGGUCACACCCAUUAUUUUUCCUGGGCCAUUAGCUCAGGUGGUUAGAGCGCACCCCUGAUAAGGGUGAGGUCCCUGGUUCAAGUCCAGGAUGGCCCAUAUCUCUAUGUUGGGGGUAUAGCUCAGUUGGUAGAGCGCCUGCUUUGCAAGCAGGAUGUCAGCGGUUCGAGUCCGCUUACCUCCACUGAUUACCACCUCUUACAUAAUUUUGAGAGGGAAAUUUUUUUGAGGUGUGAUCAAAUUCUGAACGAAUCUAGCUUCCUAAUCAAUCUUAUUAAGAUGCUGGAUUCAUUGAAUUAAUUUCAUUGUUUUCAGAGAACCUUGACAACUGCAUAGAUUAUUUUUAAAGACAAUAAGCAUCUUUUAAUGAUGCAGAUUUAUUAUUUGUGCGAAUGCAUUAAUAACAAUUCUAUUAGCUGAUGCUUCA